rnacentral:rRNA from 1 species
UGAGGAAUAUUGGUCAAUGGACGGAAGUCUGAACCAGCCAAGUAGCGUGCAGGAUGACGGCCCUAUGGGUUGUAAACUGCUUUUGUAUGGGGAUAAAGUUAGGGACGUGUCCCUAUUUGCAGGUACCAUACGAAUAAGGACUGGCUAAUUCCGUGCCAGCAGCCGCGGUAAUACGGAAGGUCCAGGCGUUAUCCGGAUUUAUUGGGUUUAAAGGGAGCGUAGGCUGGAGAUUAAGUGUGUUGUGAAAUGUAGACGCUCAACGUCUGAAUUGCAGCGCAUACUGGUUUCCUUGAGUACGCACAACGUUGGCGGAAUUCGUCGUGUAGCGGUGAAAUGCUUAGAUAUCAUGACGAACUCCGAUUGCGAAGGCAGCUUACGGGAGCGCAACUGACGCUAAAGCUCGAAGGUGCGGGUAUCGAACAGG